rnacentral:rRNA from 1 species
GGACUGACACUGACGCUGAGGUACGAAAGCGUGGGUAGCAAACAGGAUUAGAUACCCUGGUAGUCCACGCCGUAAACGAUGUCGACUAGCCGUUGGGGUCCUCGAGACCUUUGUGGCGCAGUUAACGCACUAAGUCGACCGCCUGGGGAGUACGGCCGCAAGGUUAAAACUCAAAUGAAUUGACGGGGGCCCGCACAAGCGGUGGAGCAUGUGGUUUAAUUCGAUGCAACGCGAAGAACCUUACCUACCCUUGACAUCGUGCGAACUUUCUAGAGAUGGAUUGGUGCCUUCGGGAGCGCACAGACAGGCGCUGCAUGGCUGUCGUCAGCUCGUGUUGUGAAAUGUUGGGUUAAGUCCCGUAACGAGCGCAACACUUGUUCCUAUUUGCCAGCGAUUCGGUCGGGAACUCUAGGGAGACUGCCGGUGACAAACCGGAGGAAGAUGGGGAGGACGUCAAGUCAUCAUGGCCCUUACGGGUAGGGCUACACACGUGCUACAAUGGCCGGUACAGUGGGUUGGAAAGCGGCGACGUGGAGCUAAUCUCAUAAAGCCGGUCUCAGUCCGGAUCGGAGUCUGCAAAUCGACUCCGUGAAGUCGGAAUCGCUAGUAAUCGUGCAUCAGAAUGGCACGGUGAAUACGUUCCCGGGCCUUGUACACACC